GACGAACGCUGGCGGCGUGCCUAAUACAUGCAAGUCGAACGAAACUUUCUUACACCGAAUGCUUGCAUUCACCGGAAGAAGUUGAGUGGCGGACGGGUGAGUAACACGUGGGUAACCUGCCUAAAAGAAGGGGAUAACACUUGGAACAGGUGCUAAUACCGUAUAUCUCUAAGGAUCGCAUGAUCCUUAGGUGAAAGAUGGUUCUGCUAUCGCUUUUAGAUGGACCCGCGGCGUAUUAACUAGUUGGUGGGGUAACGGCCUACCAAGGUGCUGAUACGUAGCCGAACUGAGAGGUUGAUCGGCCACAUUGGGACUGAGACACGGCCCAAACUCCUACGGGAGCAGCAGUAGGGAAUCUUCCACAAUGGACGCAAGUCUGAUGGGGCAACGCCGCGUGAGUGAAGAAGGUCUUCGGAUCGUAAAACUCUGUUGUUAGAGAAGACACGAGUGAGAGUAAC
rnacentral:rRNA from 1 species